CCGGGGAUGGGGGCGUAGCACUCCGUGGGUUUGGGACAGACGAGGCAUUCUGGAGAUUCCAGUUGGAGCUCGCGGGCUGGACGCGGAGGGCGGGCUCUUCCCGGGAGGACAGACUGACAGCGAGCAAGACCCCUGGCCCAGGUCAGAGGAAGAUGAAGGUCCUGCUGGUGCUGACGAUGCUGGUUGCCUGCAGUGUGUUCACAGCGAAUGGGAAGCACCCACGCACGUUCACACCGGGACUCGAGGGAAGCACCGUAGGAAACCUGACUGCCCAUGGAUGCUACAGGGGAUGGGGCACCUCGAGGGCUGCAGUGGAUCGGUGCUGCCUGCUCCGAGCCUGCUGCUACGCCAAGCUGGCAGCGCGGCGGUGCCGCCUGGGACCCGUCCAGCCGCUCUCUGCGCCCCGGGCAGGGAUCCCCACCUGCAGCUCCGGGACGCGGUGCCAGCGAGGCGCCUGCAGGUGCGAGCGGGCGGCGCGGCUGUGCCGGGCUCAGCUCGGCCGGGCUCAGCUCCGCGCCAGGUGCCGGGGACGAGCCGGGCGCUGCUGAAGCAAAAACUCCCUUUGCGAAACCAUCUCCGGGCUGAUGGCGAAGGCGCGGCGCCGGCAGCGCUUCCCCGCCCUGGCGAGUCUCCUCCUCGGGGCCUUUUGGCUUCGAGGCGAGGACAAGAACCCUCCGGUCAAAUCGCGUCACGGCGUGCGAGGAGGGGGAGCAGCGCUGACCUGAUGUCCAGCACAGCAAAACAAGGGAGGAGUGGACACCUGCCCCUCGUCCCGAUGAGGGGCGAGAUGGGAAGCGUCCCCCUUGGCAGCCUGUCCGCUCCCUCUGCUUCCUGCUACACAGCAAAUUCCCUCCUGAUGCUCCAAAAUAAAACCAGAGAGCCCAAAGCACCGGUUCCCAGCGUGCAGUGACUCAGCAGAGCCCAGCGACCACCCCUCACCUCUCAGACAGGUUUCCUGUUGAAGUACUCAGCAAAAAUGACACUUGAGAGGUGACACAGCUCACCCUGACCUACCCCAAGUUAGCUCUAAACCUUCAGAGUCUGAAAAUGUCCAG
rnacentral:lncRNA from 1 species